CCUACGGGAGGCAGCAGUGAGGAAUAUUGGUCAAUGGGCGCGAGCCUGAACCAGCCAAGUCGCGUGAAGGAUGACUGCCCUACGGGUUGUACACUUCUUUUAUAAAGGAAUCAAGUGAUGCUCGUGUGCCUUUUUGUAUGUACUUUAUGAAUAAGGAUCGGCUAACUCCGUGCCAGCAGCCGCGGUAAUACGGAGGAUUCGAGCGUUUUCCGGAUUUAUUGGGUUUAAAGGGUUCGGAGAUGGGUUGUUAAGUCAGUUGUGAAAGUUUGCGGCUCAACCGUCAAAUUGCCAUUGAUACUGGCAGUCUUGAGUACACUUGCGGUAGGCGGAAUGCGUGGUGUAGCGGUGAAAUGCUUAGAUAUCACGAAGAACUCCGAUUGCGAAGGCAGCUUACUAAACUGCCACUGACGUUGAUGCACGAAAGUGUGGGUAUCAAACAGGAUUAGAUACCCCGGUAGUC
rnacentral:rRNA from 1 species